UCCACCCCCCCCCCCCGCUUUCCCUGCAUCGCGACCCCGGGGCUGCCCUGCUCUUCCUUUCCUGCUCCCUGAGGACAAGCUCAGCUGCGUGGGCGCUGCUCCCUGGACUGAGAGCCUCCGGCUCUCAAGCCCAGCUUCUGGUGGAGUCGGGAAAGUGGAUCCUCAGUGCUGAGCGAGCUUCUGUCUCCUCCCUCAGUGUUUCUGCCCCAGGGCCUGCAACAUGAGCAUCCCUGACUACGUGCAGUGUGCUGAGGACUAUGAGACCCUUCCCGUGGUGGUCCAACCAGUGGGGAUCAUCUCAGAGGAGAAUUUCUUUUGCAUCUAAAGGCUAAUCUCCUUGGUGAGCCAGAUCAGCCCGUGUAGCUCCCAGGGCGCACUCUGUAUGCACUACAGGCACCACUAUGCACCCGAGAAUGGAUGGAGCGGCUUCCAGACACACCGCACGUUCGUGGGCCUUGUCAUCAUUACCGACUGCCUCUCGGCCAAGGCCUUCGAGAAGCUCCACAUGCAGAGGAGCUGUAUGGCACCACGCUUAAUGACUCUCAGCUCUUUGUCUUUGUGCUGCAUGGGGAGGUAGCCAAGCAGCCGUGCACCGACGUGGCCUUCAAUCUACGAGGACUGCAGGGUGGUGGAGAAGAGGAUCGAUGACUUCACUGAGUCACUCUUCAUCUUGCUCAAGUCCAAGUGGCUGGAUGGGGCCCCUGACAAGUCUGGGGACAAGAUCCCACUCCUCUGUAUGCCGUUUGAGAAGGAGGACUUCGUGGGACUGGACACAGACAGCAGGGCCCUGUGAUCUACAUUCCCGUGCUCCCCAUCUUCUCCUUGGAGAUGAGGUGUCAGGUUUAGGAGCCUGGGCACUGCUGAAGGCACGGCUGCCAGCACCGUGCUACACUGAGGCUGGCUCCGUUCACCUCACAUGUCACCUCCUGCUGAUCCCCCAGGCAUCAGUCAAGCGUUCCUAGGAGAGAAUUCAGCAGCGCAGCAUCCUCUCCGAGCUCUAUGAGUUGAUCGGCUUCCACCGCAAGUCCGCCUUCUUCAAGCAGGUGGUCCCCGUGCAGCGCGCGGCCCCCGGCAUCCCGGAGCCUGGCGGGAAGGCCUGCUACAGACUCCUGCAGACGCUUCCUGGCUACAGUCUGUCACUGGACCUGCAGGACUUCAGCAAAGUUUAUGAAGGUUUUCCAUGAGAUAUAUUGCUCAGCCUUUUCCUGAAUGAAGGAUUGAAUUUUCCACAGGAAAUCUUAUGAAAGAGAGUGACAAGGCACAUGGGUUUCCCAAAAAGGAAUACUUGAUCCUUUGGUCUUUUGACAACGUGGAAAUACUGCACGGAUCUGCCUUUCCCUUUUUUCCUGUCUUUGUGGGAAAAGAUUUAUGAAAGACAAACUACAAGGAUAUUAAGGAUUUUAUUUGGGUUAACAGGAAACAUAACACAGGACUCCAGAUUUAGGGAGAGAAUGCAAAAAACUACUAUCAUACUCCAUCCAGUAAGGACAAGUGUCCCUGCGUCACCAAAGCAAUGAGAAUUUGCACAAAGAAAACACAGUUCUCCAAUUGUGACAAAUACGAGACCGUGAGCCAUGAGUUACGAGAACAAGCAACCGUUUAAAUGCCAUGGGCAAAUUUUUUUUAUCAUCUUGAAAACAUCACUGAUGUUCUAGGAAGAAACUCUUGAAGACGACUCCCUGACCUGAAGGGAUGGAUGGAGGAGAAAAGAAAAGAAGACAAGCAUUUUUGGCCCACAAAAAAUGAAAGCUCAGGCGGAAUUCAUACUACUUAAGAGGAGAAGUCCUGAGGCAGAGGAGAGAGGGGAAGAUAAGCCAGACAUAAACAGUUUCAAGAGAUCCAAUUCAUCAAGGAAGCAAAGUAUUAAAUAAACCACUUCAGCUACACGCUUGUCAAUAAACCUUGGUGUCUCUGUCUCAGCCUGAAGGAGGGUAAGCCCUCCAGCCCAUCUGCCUUCCAGCCACUUACCCUGGAUGAUCUUGGUUCCCUCACCUGUGACACGUGUGUUCUCCAGGGAA